rnacentral:tRNA from 1 species
CGAGAUGUAAUUCAGUGGUAGAAUGCUUGGUUUGGGACCAAGAUGUCGCAGGUUCGAAUCCUGUCAUCUCGA